AUCAUUGAGACGCAGAAGUCUCAAAGUGUCGGAUUGUUCACCCGCCAAUAGGGAACGUGAGCUGGGUUUAGACCGUCGUGAGACAGGUUAGUUUUACCCUACUGACAAAGUAGAUACUGCGACAGUAGUCGAAGUUAGUACGAGAGGAACACUUCGUCCAGAUACUUGGUUAAUGCCGUUGUCUGAAAAGACAGUACGGCGAAGCUACCAUCUGCUGGAUUACGGCUGAACGCCUCUAAGCCGGAAUCCAUGCUGGAUAAGCAGUGUUGUACACCGUGCUCAAUGCUACAAGAAAAAGGCUAGGUCAGGCUUCGCCCUGACCAAAAUUCAAGCUGCUAUACCUCUGGCUGCAUUGACUUGUGGUCAGAGUGUAUGGUGAUCAUAGCAAUUGCAAGUAUUGGGCUCGAUAAAUCCUUUGAAGACGACUUAAUUGCAUCCGGGUAUUGUAAGUGUUGAGAGUAGGCUUAGUCUUACGAUCCACUGAGAUUCAUCCCGUGUUGCGCCGAUUUGU
rnacentral:ncRNA from 1 species